AUACAGUGGUGUGGACAUCUUCUUAAAAGCUUUUUGUACCUUUCCCAAGCUUCAUAUAGUGAUUCUCCUUCCUAUUGUACAAAAGAUGUGAUUUCUCCUCUCAGCUU